ensembl:snRNA U6 U6 spliceosomal RNA
GUGCUCACUUUGGCAGCACAUAUACUAAAACUGGAUCAGUUUACAGAGAAGGUUAAUGUGGUCCCUGUGCAAAGAUAACAUGCAGAUGUAUGAAGCGUUCCAUAUCUUU